AUCUGAAUAGUUUAAUUUAAAAUAUUGAUUUGUGGCGUCAGUGAUGAAGUUUAAUCACUUCUUUGGAUU
rnacentral:tRNA from 1 species